AUUAUAAUAAUCUCCAGUUUCCUACUGCCUCCUAAUAAACUUGAAUGCCAACCUCCUUCCUUGUAGCUGACCAGAGCUUUCCCUCCUAGCUAUCAGAGCCUGUAUCUUUCUCUUUAAAGGGAAGUUGCUUUCUCAAAGCCCAUGUUUCUCUUUGCAUCUUCCAGUACAUAGCAUGACUCUUUGUGGAAAGUCUUCUUGCAGAAUUCUUUAGUCAUAUAUCUCAUUACCCUGCAAAAAUAUUUGGUCCUCAUCACCUCAAAACAAGAGAGAGGAGAAGAGGGGGCAUGACAAGCAGAAGCCAGGCAGGGAGGUGGUAUGACUGCGCUUGUGUUUGGGCAUGCCUUUUCUCUUAAGGUUCCAGACAGCUUUUCAUGUCCCUACCUUCAUAUCUGUAGGAGGGUACAGCAGCCUUCAAAGGGAUAGGAGGUUCAAGCCAAUGUGCCCUGUGUGUCAGGAAAAACACAUGCCCAUGAAGGAAUGGUACCCUCUAGUACCACCAAGCUCCACAUGAGCCAUAAUGAUAGGGUCCAAGGGGAGGGAGUUAUACCACACUUCUACCUGAGGAUUCUAAUUUAACUGAAGUUUUCACUUCUGGUUCCAGCUGUUCCAGAUGUUCUGAACAUUUCUCUUCCUUCACUCUGAGGCCACACGAAGAGUACCCCAUAUCCCAGCCUUUAGUCAGCAUCUCCCUUUCCUACCUACGUCCAUCCCCCACCACCACAGGUUCUUUGUGUGAACUGUAGUGCUCCUUGGUCUUCCAGUCGAGUCUUUGUUUUGCUGCAUGUUAGCACACCCUGAGAUGGUUAAAUCCAAGUGUAUGAGAUGCAGUAACUGCUCCUGCCAUGCUGUUAGGAAAUGGUUCCUUCUCAUGAAGCCUUGUCUGAAGCUUCCUGGGUGAGCUUCACAAGACCAUUUCAAGGGAACUGUAAAAGAGUGCACACAGGUCUAUGUUCCCAAUAGAGGCUCACUACAGAGAGAUUAGGUCUCUUUGGUAUAGUGGAACAAAUUUUUUAAGUAAUUUCGAUUUAUUUUUAAACAUGAAUAUUUUUGUUACAUUUCUUUCUGAAGCCUGUAAUGUCUGUUUUUUUGUUUUUUUUUUUUUUUUGGAUAGAAUUUCUAGGUAGGUAGAGCAGGGAGUUGGGAACUUUGUUUCUCAGCUUGGUUAUAACAAUGACAAAGUUGAAGUUCUAUGUAAAGGAAAGGUGGACAGUGGGAGGGAAUCAGAUUGUCUCCUGAUACGCAGAGAUUUUUCUGAGAUUUGAAAGAACUUUCACUGCAGUUAUCCCUAUAACAGGGUCAUGUCUGUCAUGUUUUGAAACAAUUUCCCCAAGGCUUGAGGCUACUGAGGCAAAGCAGCCAUUCCUUGGGAAGGAUUCCCUGUCCCACCCAGCCUGGAUGUGUCCUUCCCUCCUGGACCCCAGAGCAUCACAUACUCCAAGAGAAACGGGAAUACUUUAUGAAGCAGGUAGAAGAGGAUCAGCUGACCCCAUGUAGGUGACCAGUCACAGCGUGAUGAUUAACACCAGACAAGAACCCCUGAGGAAUCUGAUGCAGUUCAGAUGAGUUGUCUUUAAAUAUCUCCACAUGGAGAAUCUUCUCUUAACAAAAGCUAAACAAAAUUAACUUAGGGGUUAUGACCCAACUCUCCCAUGAAUGUGAUCAGAGGCAGCCCCAUGUUAAGUGCUGUCUGUACCAGUAAGUAGCCUUUUGCAGUGUUUCCUCUCUGAACCACCCAGAACACCCUAGGCAGGUCUGUCCCAAACAGCAGCAGCUGAUACCUUCUCCAUUGGCCAAAGACUGCUAGGGUGUUUUGUCAGCUGUCACAGGCUACACCCAUAGUACACAGAUGUACUACAUGAGGGGAAAGGUAUGGAAAAAAAUAAUCCUAUUUGCUUUCUGGCAGACAUCUAUGCCUUUCCGUGAAUCUUUUUGGUGUUUUGGGUUUUUUCCCCUUAAUUAAUUUCGUCUGUGUCGUGUGUAUCCCAGAGAAGUCACAUGACACCAAAACAACAAAUUCACAAAUUGGUCCAACCUACCCCAAGGGUCUAGAAAGCAUCUCUGAAUAGAGUUCAAGUUAGCUCAUUUAAUGGGGGCUCCCAGCAAAAUCUAAUAUGAUUCCUGGUAAGGUCUGGGCCCUUGCUUCUAUUUUUAAUAGGUUUCUUACUGCCCACACAUUUCUAUCAUGCUAUGUACUGGAAGGUUAGUGUCCUAACCUUCUAGAUGCAAAAAGAGACUUUAUAAUAAGCCAUGCUACUACUAUGUAAAUACAUUCUUGGGUUUCAAGUUCUUGUUUAUCUAGUUUUGGAAGAGCUGGAGAGACAAUAUAGAAGUAUUGAGAUUAAUGUUUAUUUAUAUCAGUUUGGUAGUUUUUGUUUGAUUGAUUAUCCAAGUAUUUUGGAACAGGCCCAAUCUAGGACAGCCAAGAAGGAUAAAUCUGUGUUCUACAGUAUUCUGAAUUUGCUUCUUUUCUAAGACUAAUUUCUGUCAAAUUAGUGCUAUGAUAAUUGAGUCAAAAACCUGAAGUUAUUGUCUCCUCCCAUCUCUGUAUCCACCCCACCCUUCUGUCUUGUUAAGUGGCCUUGGACCCUUGUCUCCCCAUAUUCUGCCUCUCCUCUUUCAAAGGUCUGAAAAUAUAACUUAGACUUAUGAAAAAAAACUGCUUUGCCCAGCAAAUCAGUCAAAGUCAAGGAAAUUAUAAGAUACAGAAUUAUUUCAGAACAAACCUUAACCAAUACAUAAUACAGAAUGUAUUCUGCAGUAAGAAGCCAAGUUUAAACAAUAUAGCAAUGUGACAAAUGAACAUCAUAGGAAGCUAUAGUGAGUACUAUCCAGGCUUCACAACUCAUCUGUGCCUUCAGUAUGGAUAUUGCAUGUAUUUCCUUUCCCUAGUUAGGGAAAUUGAAAUUCUGAUGCUUGACUAGUACAUGUGUGUGCCGAGGGCUCUGAGUUAAUAAUUAUAAAGCACGUGCCUCCACAAGUCAAGUUGGAAAAACCUUCACUCACUAUAUCAAGGACUUGGGAACUUCUUAGCAUUUCUUCUAAGCAUUGAAUUUUUUUAAGGAAACCUCCAUCUUAAUGGGACUGAGGCUAAGUUUGCUUUACUCCUGCUUUCUACAUCUUAUAUUUUCUUCUCACAUUAGCACUCUUUUUCUUUUCUUAAUCCACGCUGUUUUCAUUAAUC
rnacentral:lncRNA from 1 species